GGGGUUGAAAGUUUUGCAUAUGAGAAUUACACUAAAGUAAAAUGCAUAGAAAUUAAACACAACUCAAAUAGAAUAGAAAGCAUUUUAAAAAAAAUAAAAUGAAAUAAAAAUAAAAACUCAACCUACAAUUUAAAUUAAUUUAAAAUAAAAGAAAUUAAAAUAAAAAUUAAAGUUUAUCUAAAUCCUAAAUUAAUUUAAAAUAAAAGAAAAUUAAAUAAAAAUUAAAGUUUAUCUAAAUCCUAAAUUAAUUUAAAAUAAAAGAAAAUAAAAUAAAAAUUAAAGUUUAUCUAAAUCCUAAACUAAUUUAAAAUAAAAGAAAAUAAAAUAAAAAUUAAAG
rnacentral:lncRNA from 1 species